GAUGAACGCUGGCGGCGUGCCUAAUACAUGCAAGUCGAGCGAACAGACGAGGAGCUUGCUCCUCUGACGUUAGCGGCGGGCGGGUGUGUAACACGUGGAUAACCUACCUAUAUGACUGGGAUAACUACGGGAAACCGGCGCUAAUAGCGGAUAAUAUAUUGCACCGCAUGGUGCAAUGGAGAAAGACGGUUUUGCUGUCACUUAUAGAGGCAUCCGCGCCGGAUGAGCUAGUUGGUAAGGUAACGGCUUACCAAGGCAACGAUGCGUAGCCGAACUGAUAGAGGGAUCGGCGGCACUGGAAGUGAGACACGGACCAGACGCCUAAGAGAGGGAGCAGUAGGGAAUCUGACGCAGUGGGCGAAAGCCUGGCGGAGCAGCGCCGCGUGAGUGAUGACGGUCUUCGGAGCGUAAAACUCUGUUACGAGGGAAGAACAAAUGUGUAAGUAACUAUGCACGGCUUGACGGUACCUAAUCAGAAAGCCACGGCUAACUACGUG
rnacentral:rRNA from 1 species